rnacentral:piRNA from 1 species
GCUCCUUCCCAAUGAUCUGAUUUCACCUU